AAUCCAUGGUGUGGGCAUUUCUAAAUUAAUAUUUUGAAACGUUUCCAAGCCUCAUGGAAAUUUUCCCUUUCUAUCUAUCUAAAAACAACAACCUCUCUUUUUAUAAA
rfam:Gossypium raimondii chromosome 3, whole genome shotgun sequence.